AGCUUUGCGCAGUGGCAGUAUCGUAGCCAAUGAGGUUUAUCCGAGGCGCGAUUAUUGCUAAUCGAAAACUCUUUUCCUAAUCUAUUUAUGAAUUUGUUCUUGCUCUCUGUCAAUGAAAACUUUUUAGGACUAGCUACUUUUA